rnacentral:tRNA from 1 species
GGUGGUAUAGCUUAAUUGGUGAACAGCCUUGACUCAUAAUCAGGAGAUGGCGGUUCGAGUCCGUCUACUGUCA